AUAUUUUAAUGUCCCUAGCUGUCUUAUGGUAAUAUUUGUAUCCCAUAAUGCUCUAUCCUACAUGUAAGUUUAAACUCCCUGAUGCUCUCCCAAGUGGCUCUAAGAAAAUACAUGAGAAACAAUCCUUCUUCCUCACCAAGACACAGCAAAAUCCCCUCAAAAUAGCAUUGCAUCUAUCACACAACACCUCAUGUUGUUGGGAGACUGGGCAUCACGGUAACCGAAGAUUUGGAAUCAAGCCAUGAUACCUUCUGACCUAGACAUUUGUUUGCUUCCACCAGCUGAACCUUGUUCAGAUCUCCUCAUGGAGUAAAGCCUCUGUGCUGACAGGACACCCCAUGUGCUAACUCGCAGCUUGGGCCCCUGAUAGAAGUCUGCUGGGAAAAGCUGCUAAGCAUGGUUGGUCUUAUCAACAGACUUUAGUGAUGAGUGUGGCAUUUCAGUGACACUAAGCCAGGGACCAGGCUGUUCAGACAUACCAUUCACCACCUCCCUUCGCUUUCCUGCUUCCCAUCGGUACAUAUAUGGUCUUGGAAAUAAGAAAUAAGAGAAGCUGCCAGAUGCCCACAGGGGGGCACAGCCUGCUGCCCACAGGAGAGCGCUGCAUGUGUCUAGCAGCAGAGGCUUCGAGUCUAAUGGAGAUGACCAAGUCCUGGCUGACAGGUAGGAAGGGAAAUGGAAGUUAUAGCUUGUGGACCAAGUGCAUUUCCUUUCCACACAUGUGCCACAGAGUCAUUAUUGCUCACACAAACCCUACGGCCAUAAAAUCCCUUCCAGGCCAUCCCGUGGAGGAAACAGAAUGAACCGCAACUUGUCCAUUAUGGGAGGGGAGAAGGCUCUGUUCCUUUGCCAGGAUAAAGGAUCUUUGGCUCCAAAAAGUCUCAGGGCUGUGUUCAGCUUGAUGUGCAGAACUGCUGAACCAUCACCUUCAGCGAGGAGAAGGUAACAGAGUAAGGAGUCAUUAAGACCAACCUCACUCACUGAUGAUGUUUCCUUCACAUUCAUUUUAUAAAAUGCCUUUAAGGCUCACCACCAAGUAGGUUUACGGUGCAUUAAAAUGCUUACAGAAAGGGUCAGCCUAAUACACUGCAGGAAAAGGUGAACGUCUGGGAACCACUGCUCUGUGUUUGCUGGUGAGGAGAAGGGUGAGCAUCGUCAGUGCGGUUCCUGCUGUCGUUGCCAGCUCUACUUGUGGGAGGCAGUUCUUACCACAGUCAGUCCAUGUAGUAGACACAUGUGAGCCCUGACACAACAUUAUAGACCAAAGGGAGUGUUCCCUCCCAGUGAGGCAUCCCUUCUUAAUGUUCUGCAACCCCUCAUCAUUUAGGGAAUGCUGGUCUAUCAGUGGUGGGAUUUCUAUGAGGUUAAUCCUUGACCCUUCUCUAGUAUUACUGUUUAGGUGUUUUCCAGAGGGCAAAGAGGUACAUCCGAGUUGAAUCAGGAAUGGACUGCUCUGUCCUUUAAAAGGAUUCCAAACAGCUUUAGUCACGGGUGUUGCUGGUGGGGGUUGAAGGUUGGUUGAUUGUUUACGCCAAUCUUUUUUUUUUUUUUCACCCUGGAUAUAAUCAUGGAGUAGCCGGAAGUGGGUGAAAGGAAAAUGAAAAAAGUUGUUGACAUCGUGGCAGUAACAGAAGCCUGAAGGCCCAGCUGGGGAAUUCGUCUGGGCUAGAAGACCAGGCAAGCUGGAUAGGCCAAGAACCAAUGAACCAUAAAAAAGCUUUAAAAGGAAACAGAUGAAAAGAAAAAAGAACCCACAAGGACACACACAGGCCUGAAAAUGGACACAGUGGAAUAUCAGAAAUACUAAAAUGAGCGUGCACAGUGUAUGGGAGAAGAAAUUCAAACUGGGACUGGUCAUCUGAGUACUCUGUUCUUGGCUGGCAAUCACAAGACGAUACAACACGCUACCAUGAACACUUAGGCUAGUGAGGAAAGAAACUGGCUAGACUCACAAGAACUCAGCACUCCGAUUUUGUAAUAGCAGAACUAACUUCAGAGGCACAGUUCCCACUGCAUACCCCUCCGUGUUUAGUGUCCCUCAGAUGACACACACCUUUUGCUUUCUCUCUCUUGCCCUCACUUAGGGGAAUGUAUCAACAUCAUCUGGGACUCUCAUUCUUCUUAAUCAAGUUUCCUAUGAAGUGUUGUGUGGAGAAAAUGGUCAGGAAUGAUUAUCCAGACACUGAGAAACAGCACCAGAUGUCAGGCUGGCAUGUGGUCAUGUGACUCUACUUUCCUAUAUAAGGAGAGUUUGUGCUACUGGAUUUCCUUCAGUAGGAGAGAUGCCUUCUGCAGUUUGGAGCCCAUAUUCCAUCAACAACAAAACAACAACAAGAUAGAUAUUCUAUUUCCCAACCUUCUAAGUAAGAUACCUUCGAUGUGAAGCACACUAUUACUGACACAAUAAUUUAUCCACCCUCAAGCCAGUCACUGUGAGCAGCCCAGGGACUGGUAGAGAUAGGCAAAUCCUCGGGCAACUGUGAUGUGCUCUGUCAGAGAAGAUUCCUUAGUCUGCUGUGCUCUAGAACAGAAUUCAGAAAGAACAGACACAUUUCUCCCAGUUCUGGGAGCUGAGAGGUCCAAGGAGCGUCUGCCUGGGACAGACCCUGUGGUGGACUGAGGAAUCCAGCAAAGCAGCAGAACAUCUCUGCCCUUGAUCUACUGGCUGUUGGUGAUGAGUGGUGCACACAUAGACUAGGGUGCGG
rnacentral:sRNA from 1 species